CCUACGCUGAUUGGACGACUUUACCACAUCCGCGGCGCAAGUUGCUGUGCGACUAUGUUUUCACGUUUUAUCAGCUCCUGGGACCAGCGUUACAAAACUUGGAAUCUGGGACCUGCUGAGGCUGUGCACCCUACUAAAUCAAGCCACCGCAUUUUGGGGGCUGGGCACAGGAGGGAAUGAGAGUACUACAACUUGCAACAAUGUAAAAAGGAUUAACAACCUUCCUCUCUCAGCAAAGUCAGGUAAGAAGGAUGUAUACC